AGUGAACGCUGGCGGUAGGCCUAACACAUGCAAGUCGAACGGCAGCACAGUAAGAGCUUGCUCUUACGGGUGGCGAGUGGCGGACGGGUGAGGAAUACAUCGGAAUCUACUUUUUCGUGGGGGAUAACGUAGGGAAACUUACGCUAAUACCGCAUACGACCUACGGGUGAAAGCAGGGGAUCUUCGGACCUUGCGCGAUUGAAUGAGCCGAUGUCGGAUUAGCUAGUUGGCGGGGUAAAGGCCCACCAAGGCGACGAUCCGUAGCUGGUCUGAGAGGAUGAUAAGCCACACUGGAACUGAGACACGGUCCAGACUCCUACGGGAGGCAGCAGUGGGGAAUAUUGGACAAUGGGCGCAAGCCUGAUCCAGCCAUACCGCGUGGGUGAAGAAGGCCUUCGGGUUGUAAAGACCUUUUGUUGGGAAAGAAAAGCAGCAGGUUAAUACCCCGCUGUUCUGACGGUACCCAAAGAAUAAGCACCGGCUAACUUCGUG
rnacentral:rRNA from 1 species